UACGUAGGUGACAAGCGUUGUCCGGAUUUACUGGGCGUAAAGAGCGCGCAGGCGGUCGUUCAAGUCGAGUGUGAAAGCCCCCCGGCUCAACUGGGGAGGGUCACUCGAUACUGAUCGACUCGAAGGCAGGAGAGGGAAGUGGAAUUCCCGGUGUAGUGGUGAAAUGCGUAGAUAUCGGGAGGAACACCGGUGGUGUAGACGGCUCUCUGGACCGUAACUGACGCUGAGACACGAAAGCGUGGGUAGCAAACAGG
rnacentral:rRNA from 1 species